UACGUAGGGUGCAAGCGUUAAUCGGAAUUACUGGGCGUAAAGCGUGCGCAGGCGGUUUUGUAAGACUGUGGUGAAAUCCCCGGGCUCAACCUGGGAACUGCCAUUGUGACUGCAAAGCUAGAGUGCGGCAGAGGGGGAUAGAAUUCCGCGUGUAGCAGUGAAAUGCGUAGAUAUGCGGAGGAACACCGAUGGCGAAGGCAAUCCCCUGGGCCGGCACUGACGCUCAUGCACGAAAGCGUGGGGAGCAAACAGG
rnacentral:rRNA from 1 species